UACGGAGGGUGCAAGCGUUGUCCGGAUUUAUUGGGUUUAAAGGGUGCGUAGGCGGCCCGUUAAGUCAGUGGUGAAAUCCCGCAGCUCAACUGCGGAACUGCCAUUGAUACUGGCGGGCUUGAGUACAGACGAGGUAGGCGGAAUUUAUGGUGUAGCGGUGAAAUGCAUAGAUACCAUAAAGAACACCGAUAGCGAAGGCAGCUUACUAGACUGUAACUGACGCUCAGGCACGAAAGCGUGGGGAGCGAAC
rnacentral:rRNA from 1 species